UUCGGGAGGCAGCAGUGAUGAAUAUUGGACAAUGGAGGAGACUUUGAUCCACCCAUGCCGCGUGCAGGAAGAAUGCCCUAUGGGUAGUAAACUGCUUUUAUAGGGGAAGAAAAAGGGGCACGUGUGCCCUGUUGACGGUACCGUAAGAAUAAGGACCGGCUAAAUUCGUGCCAGCAGCCGCGGUAAUACGGAGGGUCCGAGCGUUAUCCGGAAUUAUUGGGUUUAAAGGGUCCGUAGGCGGGCCGGUAAGUCAGGGGUGAAAGUCUGUAGCUCAACUAUAGAACUGCCUUUGAUACUGCCGGUCUUGAGUCAUGGUGAAGUUGGCGGAAUAUGUGGUGUAGCGGUGAAAUGCAUAGAUAUCACAUAGAACACCGAUUGGGAAGGCAGCUGACUAACCAUGAACUGACGCUGAUGGACGAAAGCGUGGGGAGCGAACAGGAUUAGAUACCCCGGUAGUUCUCGCCGUAAACGAUGGGUGUUAGUUGUGCGGGUCCUGAUCGCUGGGGGCCCGCGAAAUUCAGCGCUCCGGAGUAG
rnacentral:rRNA from 1 species